UACGGAAGGCAGCAGUGGGGAAUAUUGCACAAUGGGCGCAAGCCUGAUGCAGCCAUGCCGCGUGUAUGAAGAAGGCCUUCGGGUUGUAAAGUACUUUCAGUCGUGAGGAAGGUGUUAAGGUUAAUAACCUUAGCAAUUGACGUUAGCGACAGAAGAAGCACCGGCUAACUCCGUGCCAGCAGCCGCGGUAAUACGGAGGGUGCGAGCGUUAAUCGGAAUUACUGGGCGUAAAGGGCACGCAGGCGGUUAAUUAAGUUGGAUGUGAAAUCCCCGGGCUUAACCUGGGAAUGGCAUUCAAGACUGGUUAGCUAGAGUCUUGUAGAGGGGGUAGAAUUCCAUGUGUAGCGGUGAAAUGCGUAGAGAUGUGGAGGAAAUACCGGUGGCGAAGGCGGCCCCGUGGACAAAGACUGACGCUCAUGUGCGAAAGCGUGGGGAGCGAAACAGGAUUAGAUACC
rnacentral:rRNA from 1 species